rnacentral:rRNA from 1 species
UGCCAGCCGCCGCGGUAAUACGGAAGGUGCAAGCGUUAUCCGGAAUCAUUGGGCGUAAAGCGUCUGUAAUCUGUUUUAUAAGUCGAAUAUUAAAGCUCAGGGCUCAACCCUGAAAGCGUGUUCGAUACUGUAGAACUUGAGGUCAGUAGAGGUUGUGGGAAUUCUCGGUGUAGUAGUGAAAUGCGUUAAUAUCGAGAAGAACGCCAUUAGCGAAGGCUCACAACUGGGCUGCACCUGACGACCAGAGACGAAAGCGCGGGGAGCGAACGGGAUUAGAUA